UGUGGGAGCGAGCUUGCUCGCGAUGGCGGCGGGUCAUUCAAUGUAAGGUUGUCUGACCCACCGUAAUCGCGAGCAAGCUCGCUCCCACA
rnacentral:misc_RNA from 1 species